UUGUCAGGUCGUCUAAUAGGUAGGACAUAACUCUUUGGAAGUUACGAUACAGGUUCGAACCCUGUCCUGACAGU
rnacentral:tRNA from 1 species